GAGCCUUGAAUUCCUUUCACCUUUCGACCAACAAGAUGUAAAAUAUCCAUCCAGACAGGUAACCUCCUGGAGGAGAGGGCAGAGUGAGGCAUGGGCCUUUCUCUACCCUGAGGACCCUACCUGGAACGGCUCAGACUGGAACCUUAUGAACAAAAAAGGGAAGCCCCGUUUGUAGAGAGUAGAUGGACAGUGCUUAUGUAAAACACUCCCCAGUGCGGCAGAACCAGAUUAAAAUUGGGAAAUAUUUAACAAAAUAAAUAAAAAUACAAUAAAACAUA